AAUUUUGGACAAUGGGGGAAACCCUGACCCAGCCAUCCCGCGUGCAUGAUGAAGGCGUUCGGGUUGUAAAGUACUUUCGGCAGAGAAGAAAAGGUACCUCCUAAUACGAGGUACUGCUGACGGUAUCUGCAGAAUAAGCACCGGCUAACUACGUGCCAGCAGCCGAGGUAAUUCGGAGGGUGCUAGCGUUAAUCGGAAUUACUGGGCGUAAAGCGUGUGUAGGCGGGUCGGAAAGAAAAAUGUGGAAUCCCAGGGCUCAACCUUGGAACUGCAUUUUUAACUGCCGAACUAGAGUAGGUCAGAGGGGGGUAGAAUUCCACGUGUAGCAGUGAAAUGCGUAGAUAUGUGGAGGAAUACCGAUGGCGAAGGCAGCCCCCUGGGAUAAUACUGACGCUCAGACACGAAAGCGUGGGGAGCAAACA
rnacentral:rRNA from 1 species